GCCGACGCGGAAGCGGAUUUCGGGAGCGAAGGUCCCCUCGGCUACCAGCACACUUAACAUUUCACGUGAUUCUGUUGGACAGCGUGAGUCCAGAGCCGAGUCAGUUCCUGCUUUGGAAGCAGAGAGUCCUCCGUGUGGGGUGUCCUGCCGGCGAGACCUUGGGCAGCAUCUCCAGCGUCGUCCACCAGAUGGCAGUAGCUCCCCUCUCUCCAACACGACUUUGCCAGAGUCCCCAAGGGCUUGGAGUAACCCCAUCUGUCCAUAUGCUGCAGCAGCUUCCAGCCGGUCGUCACACUGGGGUCUGAAAGGCGGAGCAGCCACCAGACUGUCAGCCCAGGAGCUCCACUGGGUGAAGGUGAGGAGGGCUGAGGCUGCCUCCUCACGUCUCCUUGCCUACGAUGAGCUGACUCUCCCUGCAUCUUAUCCUCCUGGACCCAGCACCUCCUUUGGAGUCCCACGCCCACUGCUCCAACUCAAGUCCACGUUCUAGAACACCAUGUAGGUAACAGAGCCAAAGACAUAUCCGAUCGAUAUGACCAAACAAGAACUGACACUGGUGAUAAGGGGGGGGGGGAGGUUACAGCACACGCCGAGGCUGCUGGAAAAGAAGCGAAUUCUUAAGAUGCAGUGGAAUGGAUGAACCUGGAGGACAUACGCCCAGGGAAAUGAGCCAUCACAGGACAAGCACACAUGAUCCCACUCACAUGGGGCAUCUGAAAGGGUCACAUUCAUGGGAUCAGGGACUGGAACGGUGGGUGUCAGGGCUGGGGAGGUGGAGGUGGGGAGGGACGUUAGUCAGAGAGGCAGGAGCCGAACCGUACAUGGUUCCCGGAGUCGACAACACUGGAGGGGGGAGCCCGGCACCCAGCUGAGGCUGGCUGCUCCCACCUCAGACCAGAUGCUCUCAGGUGCCUGGCAGGGCAACUGUGUUGAUUCUGUUAGGAGAUCCAUGGGCUUCCUUACAGGAGGUUACCCGUGAAGGUCUGUUUUUAGCUUCCCCCGUACCGUUUGCAUAAUUCUGGCACUUCCUGGCAUUCUCUCCCCUUGGGGUGCUGGCUUCUCCCUGUUCUGCCCACCGAGAUGUUAGGCCUGCAACUGGCUUCCCCUUCAAAGGUCUCAUUAAAUACACCUGUCCCCCUUCACCGCGCAGCCCCAAGGGAUUGUGUUUGUCUUGUUUCCCUAAUUGGCAGGUUGCGUUCCUGCUGGGGAGAUGCAGCGUUUAGAAGGAUUAAGCAGGAUUGGUUUUCAGUCCCUUUGGUACAUUGUCCAAAGGCAUCUUUGCGUUUACUUUCGAUUUCACAAGCUGCUUCUUGCUGUUUAAACAGAUGAUUGUCCAGUAGGAAGUUUCAGCUGCAGCUGCUUCCUGCUUUGAAUCCCAGCCUCACAGAGUUUAUUUAAGUAAGAUUUUUCUCAACCUGUGAAGCACAAUUCCGAAGGCACAGAGGAGAAGCAAUGUCUGCAUCUCAUCUGCACAAUGUGGUCGAGUGCCAAGUGCCACAGAAUGUCCCGCAGAGGCCACGGGGGAGUGACCCCUGGGGAAACGGUGCUCCAAGCUUGAUGUACUGUAACGUCGUAGGAAAGAGAAAGAAGUGCCACAAAUGAGGUCUUGUCACGGAUGGAGCUAGUGUAACCCUGGGAGACAGGAGGCUGUGGAAGAGCCUCCUGGGGAGGGGUCGGAGGUACUGAGACGGCUGAAGAAUAGAAGGAAGAAGAUACAGACGCAGAAAUGCCCUCUGGCCGAGUCAGCAAGGAGGGCACCGCCAGGAGCACCAGGUAUACACACGUUAUUUUCCCAUCAUCUCCACAUCAUUCCCUGGCCCCCGAGUCACUUAACCGCUUUGCACUGUGCGUGCUCAGCACCCUGAGUGACUUCAGGUUUGCUCCCUGUGUCCAGGACAGCGUUUCCCACCUGCUUCUACUUCUGAUGGCGUCUGUAGGAGCUUUUCACCUCCUGGCUUCUUCCUCCUCCGUCCACUCCUGAUCCUCUGUCCUUGUCCUGCAGUCUCUCCUUGGAGCCCUUACAGCUCUUCCUUCUGCUUUUUUCCUGGGAGAACUUGUCUUGACUCUAAGUUUGUUUAGUGAUGUUAUUUCUUUGAGUGAUUUAUUUCUUUGUCUUUUUGCAUUUUUGAAAAAAAAUUAAAGAUACAGGAAAAGUAUAAAGAAUUUUUACAAAGCACAUUGUUUCCAUAACGCAAAUUUAACUAUAUAUUUUGUCAUACUUGUUUCUAAUCCUUUUAAAAGAAAAAAUACAUAAUAGAUAUAGCUUAGGAAUCCUUUACGAACAACACAGAGGCCUGUCCUCACUCACCCAGUGGUAAACAGUUUGGUGGUUUGUAUUUUUAUAUUCCUUUUUAAAAAAUUUACAUAUGUACAUGUGUCCAUUAUACAAACUUAUUUUUGAAAGUGUUACUUUACAUUAAGUGGCACCAUGCUGUAUUAAUUAUUCUGCCCCUUUCUCUUUUCACACUAUGUUCGUGAUCACAAAAUCCUAUAUUACCUAUAUUUCAUCCUACUAGUUUUUGGUUGAUCACAUUUAGGCUUUAAUUUGUUGUAUUCAUAAAGCAGGAAUCUUGUUUAACAGGUUUUCCUGAUAAAGAGACCCAGUCUCCCCACAUUAUAUAUUGAAUGUCCGUGUUUCCUACUGACCUGUGACGUCACCAUCAUCAGAUUACCAAAUUCCCAAAUACACACAAGACUGCUCCUGAGCUCUUCUUUUCCCUUGGUCUAUUUUUCUACUGCUGUACUGUUGUCACAAUCUUUAUGACUGUACCUUUGAUAUAUUCACUUUCUUGUAAAUUCUCCCAAUUUGGCUUUUUCUCAAAAAAAGAGUUUUUGGUAUUUUUCCUUCUCAAAUUUUUUUAACCUUAUAUUAUAGAAAAUUUUAAACAUACAAAAGUAGACCCAAUAGGAUGGCCCAAUUCCAGCUGCAGUGAUAAUCAAUUCAUGCCUGAUCUGUUUUCAUCUACGCCUCCCCCUUGGUCCCCCCACCCCUGCCCCAUAUUCUUUUGAAGCCAAUUACAGGUAGUGUAUCGUUCCAAGCAUUUCUUUUUUUUUUUUAAUUUAAUUAAUUUAUUUAUUUUUGGAUGCAUUGGGUCUUUGUUGCGGUGUGCGGGCUUCUCAUUGUGGUGCCUUCUCUUGUUGCAGAGCAUGGACUCUAGGGGUGCAGGCUUCAGUAGUUGUGGCAUGCAGGCUCAGUAGCUGUGGCUCUCGGGCUCAGUAGUUGUGGCUCACGGGCUUAGUUGCUCCACGGCAUGUGGGAUCUUCCCAGACCAGGGCUCAAACCCAUGUCCCCUGCAUUGGCAGGCGGAUACUUAACCACUGCACCACCAGGGAAACCCCCAAGCAUUUCUUAAGCUAUUUCUCUACACAUAUUCUCUAAAAUCAGUUUUUUAAGUUCCCCAUAUAUUUUGAUGGAGUUUUGAUUGAAUUUUCAUUGAAUUUAAAGAUUUUGGAGAAUUCACUUACAAAAUUGAAUCUUUCCACGAAAUUGGGUAAAAUUUCUAACCGUGAAAUUUUUCCCCAUUUAUUAAAUUCUUCCUUUAUAUUUUUUAAUAACACGUUUGUUGUUUUCUCUGUGAAGAUCUUGCACGUUUGUUAGAUUUUGCCGCAACUAUGAAUGUCAUAGAUUUUGCUGUGGCUAUGAAUGAUGCAGUUUAAAUUAUAAUUCCCACUUGGUUAUUGCUACUGUAAAGAAAUGAUAUGAAUUUUGUGCAUUGCUCUUGUCCUCUGCAAAUCUUGCUAAACUUUUAUUUUUUUAUUUUAUUUUUUAAUAAAUUUAUUUAUUUUUGGCUGCGUUGGGUCUUCGUUGCUGCACACGAGCUUUCUCUAGUUGUGGCGAGCGGGGGCUACUCUUCGUUGCGGUGCACGGGCUUCUCAUUGCGGUGGCUUCUCUUGUUGCGGAGCACAGGCUCUAGGCACGCGGGCUUCAGUAGUUGUGGCACACGGGCUCAGUAGUUGUGGCUCACGGGCUCUAGAGUGCAGGCUCAGUAGCUGUGGCGCACAGGCUUAGUUGCUCCGUGGCACGUGGGAUCUUCCUGGACCAGGGCUCGAAGCCGUGUCCCCUGCAUUGGCAGGCAGAUUCUUAACCGCUACACCACUAGGGAAGCCCUAAACUUUUAUUAAUCUGAGUAGUUUAUUCAUAGAUUCUCUUGGAUUUUAUAGAUAGACAAUCGUAUCAUCUGCAAGAAAAUGAUAGCUUUGCUUUCUCUCAUCCCUUAUAACUUAUGGUUUUAAUUUUUUAUUUUACUGCAAGGGCUUGUUCUCCAGUGCACUGUUGAGAAGAGUAGUGAUAACUGGCUGUCGCGCUUGUCCCUCACGUUCAUGGCUCUUGUACGUUCCCCAUCUGCCUAACAUCUUCUCCCCACCCAGCUGGGCAGCAUGUCUCCACCUGGCCCCGAGCUGACUCUGGGCAGUCAGCAUUCAUCUUUGAGGGAAGUGGGUCUGCUGAGCCAGGCUGGUCCUGAAGGCCCGUGGGGGCAGGGACAGGGCUGAGCUGCAGAGAGACCACGACGCCACCUGGGUUUGCUGUCGUCCCCUGCAGGAUCCCCUAAUUCACACAGGGUGACGGUGGCCACACCCUCCCCGCCCACCUCCCCUUGGCCGACUCUUAGCUAAAAGGCUGCGUCAUAGGCCAAAGAACUAGCACGCAGACUGGCCUUCAGUUUUACCUCCCGCCAUGUGAGAGGGGUCUCAGCUCCCCCUUCUCAGGCCCAUCAGCCCAGGGAAGCCCUACCUACCUCUGGGACAGAGCCAGGGUCCACGACCAGUUCAAACAGGGGUAGGCAUCGCCAGCCGAGCGGUGCAUGGAUUUGCCCAGGCCCUCAUCCCUGAUGCAUGACGGGUCCCCGAGACGCCACCGCUUUCUCUCCCCUGCCCUGCUGCUUGCCUUCGGUGUGUGGCAGGGACAGGAUGCUCAGAUGGGGUGAGGGGCAGGCGACCCUGGGGUGCGGGAGACCCUGGGCGUUCAUGCUUCCUUAGCUCCUUCCCCUCCUGCCCCAGAUUCCCAGAGUUGUAAAACUCUAGGUUGUAAAACGUGGGUUCCAU